UACAGAGGGUGCGAGCGUUAAUCGGAAUUACUGGGCGUAAAGGGCGCGUAGGCGGUGUAUUAAGUUAGAUGUGAAAUCCCUGGGCUUAACCUAGGAACUGCAUCUAAGACUGAUACGCUAGAGUGCGGUAGAGGAUAGUGGAAUUUCCGGUGUAGCGGUGAAAUGCGUAGAUAUCGGAAGGAACACCAGUGGCGAAGGCGGCUAUCUGGACUGACACUGACGCUGAGGCGCGGGAGCGUGGGGAGCAAACAGG
rnacentral:rRNA from 1 species